rnacentral:lncRNA from 1 species
CAACCCGUUAUGACCCGUUAUGACCCAUUACGAAAAAUAUUUUUUUUCUUAAAUUUGCACAUACCACACAAUGUCACAUAAAUAUUACUUCAAAACAUUAAAACACAUUUGUCGUUUAAGUACUACAUCUACACUCGAAAAUAAGAGCAUUAUAAAAAAUACAUCCAUACACUACUAAUCUAUUACAAAUAUUAAAUGUGCAAGGAUAUGCAAAAUGAAAGCGUUUUUUUUUCAAGGUUGUGAAGCAUUUCUCAAAAGUUUAAACAUUGCCAAUGGAACUCAAAGCUUAAUGAAAGUGACCCACUAGAGUGUUUAUUCGUACUUUCAUUAAGUAUAACAUAAGAUUUUGUGGUAUCCACUAAUGUAAAUAUUUUAAAUUGAAGAUCGAAUUCAUUCAUUGUAUUCAUAUAGGGUCAAGGAGUGUAGUUGUAAAAAAUCAUCAAAAUCGAAGUUAAAAUAACCGUUAAAUUGUGAUUUUUCGUUUAUAACCGUCGAAAAGUUUUGUCCCGUUACUUAAUCUUUAAAUGUUUGUUUUUUGCAAUUUUUGGCAUAUGCGAUCUCGAAGCAUAUACAAACAAGUAUGAUGGUUAGAUCGUUGAAACUAGUUUCGUAUAAUGCGUAUCUCAUCAAAACAAUAGAUUCACUAACACUUAAGAGUUUAUUCUUACUUUUAUUAAGUAUAACAUAAGAUUUUGUGGUAUCCACUAGUGUAAAUAUUUUAAAUUGAAGAUCGAAUUCAUUCCUUGUAUUCAUAUAGAGUCAAGGAGUGUAGCUGUAAAAAAUCAUCAAAAUUGGAGUUAAAAUAACCGUUAAAUCGUGAUUUUUCGUUUAUAACCGUCGAAAAGUUUUGUCUCGUUACUUGAUCUCUGAAUGUUUAUUUUUUGCAAUUUUUGGCAUAUGCAAUCUCGAAGUAUAUACAAACAUGUUUGACGGUUGGAUUGUUGAAACUAGUUUCGUAGAAUGCGUAUCCCAUCAAAACAAUAGAUUCACUAACACUUAUAAAUUUUAUUCAUACUUUCAUCAAGUAUAACAUAAGAUUUUGUGGUAUCCACUAGUGUUAAUAUUUUAAAUUGAAGAUCGAAUUCAUUCAUUGUAUUUUAUAUAGGGUCAAGGAGUGUAGCUGGUAAAAAAAUCAUCAAAAUCGGAGUUAAAAUAACCGUUAAAUCGUGAUUUUUUCGUUUAUAACCGUCGAAAAGUUUUGUCCCGUUACUUGAUCUAUGAAUGUUUAUUUUUUGCAAUUUUUUAGCGUAUGCGAUCUCGAAGUAUAUACAAACAUGUUUGACGGUUGGAUCGUUGAAACUAGUUUCGUAGAAUGUGUAUCCCAUCAAAACAAUAGAUUCACUAACACUUAAGAGUUUAUUUAUACUUUCAUCAAGUAUAACAUAAGAUUUUGUGAUAUCCACUAGUGUAAAUAUUUUAAAUUGAAGAUCGAAUUCAUUCAUUGUAUUCAUAUAAGGUCAAGGAGUGUAGAUGUAAAAAAUCAUCAAAAUCAGAGUUAAAAUAACCGUUAAAUCGUGAUUUUUUGUUUAUAACCGUUUGAAAAGUUUUUGUCCUGUUACUUGAUCUCUGAAUGUUUAUUUUUUGCAAUUUUUGGCGUAUGCGAUCUCGAAGUAUAUACAAACAUGUUUGACAGUUGGAUCGUUGAAACUAGUUUCGUAGAAUGCGUAUCCCAUCAAAACAAUAGAUUCACUAACACUUAAGAGUUUAUUUAUACUUUCAUCAAGUAUAACAUAAGAUUUUGUGAUAUCCACUAGUGUAAAUAUUUUAAAUUGAAGAUCGAAUUCAUUCAUUGUAUUCAUAUAGGGUCAAGGAGUGUAGAUGUAAAAAAUCAUUAAAAUCGGAGUUAAAAUAACCGUUAAAUCGUGAUUUUUCGUUUAUAACCGUCGAAAAGUUUUGUCCCGUUACUUGAUCUCUGAAUGUUUUUUUUUUUUGCAAUUUUUGGUGUAUGCGAUCUAGAAGCAUAUACAAACAAGUUUGAUGGUUGGAUCGUUGAAACUAGUUUCGCAAAAUUCGUAUCUCAUCAAAACAAUAAAUUCACUAACACUUAAGAGUUUAUUCAUAUUUUCAUUAAGUAUAACGUAAUAUUUUGUGGUAUCCACUAGUGUAAAUAUUUUAAAUUGAAGAUCGAAUUCAUUCAUUGUAUUCAUAUAAGGUCAAGGAGUGUAGCUGUAAAAAAUUAUCAAAAUUAGAGUUAAAAUAACCGUUAAAUUGUGAUUUUUCGUUUAUAACCGUCGAAAAGUUUUGUCCCGUUACUUAAUCUUUAAAUGUUUGUUUUUUGCAAUUUUUGGCAUAUGCGAUCUCGAAGCAUAUACAAACAAGUAUGAUGGUUAGAUCGUUGAAACUAGUUUCGUAUAAUGCGUAUCUCAUCAAAACAAUAGAUUCACUAACACUUAAGAGUUUAUUCUUACUUUUAUUAAGUAUAACAUAAGAUUUUGUGGUAUCCACUAGUGUAAAUAUUUUAAAUUGAAGAUCGAAUUCAUUCCUUGUAUUCAUAUAGAGUCAAGGAGUGUAGCUGUAAAAAAUCAUCAAAAUUGGAGUUAAAAUAACCGUUAAAUCGUGAUUUUUCGUUUAUAACCGUCGAAAAGUUUUGUCUCGUUACUUGAUCUCUGAAUGUUUAUUUUUUGCAAUUUUUGGCAUAUGCAAUCUCGAAGUAUAUACAAACAUGUUUGACGGUUGGAUUGUUGAAACUAGUUUCGUAGAAUGCGUAUCCCAUCAAAACAAUAGAUUCACUAACACUUAUAAAUUUUAUUCAUACUUUCAUCAAGUAUAACAUAAGAUUUUGUGGUAUCCACUAGUGUUAAUAUUUUAAAUUGAAGAUCGAAUUCAUUCAUUGUAUUUAUAUAGGGUCAAGGAGUGUAGCUGUAAAAAAUCAUCAAAAUCGGAGUUAAAAUAACCGUUAAAUCGUGAUUUUUCGUUUAUAACCGUCGAAAAGUUUUGUCCCGUUACUUGAUCUAUGAAUGUUUAUUUUUUGCAAUUUUUAGCGUAUGCGAUCUCGAAGUAUAUACAAACAUGUUUGACGGUUGGAUCGUUGAAACUAGUUUCGUAGAAUGUGUAUCCCAUCAAAACAAUAGAUUCACUAACACUUAAGAGUUUAUUUAUACUUUCAUCAAGUAUAACAUAAGAUUUUGUGAUAUCCACUAGUGUAAAUAUUUUAAAUUGAAGAUCGAAUUCAUUCAUUGUAUUCAUAUAAGGUCAAGGAGUGUAGAUGUAAAAAAUCAUCAAAAUCAGAGUUAAAAUAACCGUUAAAUCGUGAUUUUUUGUUUAUAACCGUUGAAAAGUUUUGUCCUGUUACUUGAUCUCUGAAUGUUUAUUUUUUGCAAUUUUUGGCGUAUGCGAUCUCGAAGUAUAUACAAACAUGUUUGACAGUUGGAUCGUUGAAACUAGUUUCGUAGAAUGCGUAUCCCAUCAAAACAAUAGAUUCACUAACACUUAAGAGUUUAUUUAUACUUUCAUCAAGUAUAACAUAAGAUUUUGUGAUAUCCACUAGUGUAAAUAUUUUAAAUUGAAGAUCGAAUUCAUUCAUUGUAUUCAUAUAGGGUCAAGGAGUGUAGAUGUAAAAAAUCAUUAAAAUCGGAGUUAAAAUAACCGUUAAAUCGUGAUUUUUCGUUUAUAACCGUCGAAAAGUUUUGUCCCGUUACUUGAUCUCUGAAUGUUUUUUUUUUUUGCAAUUUUUGGUGUAUGCGAUCUAGAAGCAUAUACAAACAAGUUUGAUGGUUGGAUCGUUGAAACUAGUUUCGCAAAAUUCGUAUCUCAUCAAAACAAUAAAUUCACUAACACUUAAGAGUUUAUUCAUAUUUUCAUUAAGUAUAACGUAAUAUUUUGUGGUAUCCACUAGUGUAAAUAUUUUAAAUUGAAGAUCGAAUUCAUUCAUUGUAUUCAUAUAAGGUCAAGGAGUGUAGCUGUAAAAAAUUAUCAAAAUUAGAGUUAAAAUAACCGUUAAAUCAUGAUUUUUCGUUUAUAACCGUCGAAAUGUUUUGUCUCGUUACUUGAUCUGUGAAUUUUUGUUUUUUGUAAUUUUUUGAUGAUGCGAUCUCGAAGCAUAUACAAACAAGUUUGACGGUUGGAUCGUUGAAAUUAGUUUCGUAUAAUUCGUAUCCCAUGAAGUUCAAUGGUGUGUGUUUGUGUGUGUGUGUGUGUGUAUAUAUAUAUAUUUAUUUAUUAAGUAGAUUUAAAUCUAUUUAUUUUGUAUGUAUAAUUAU